rnacentral:rRNA from 1 species
UACGAAGGGGGCUAGCGUUGUUCGGAAUUACUGGGCGUAAAGCGCGCGCAGGCGGCUAUCCAAGUCAGUGGUGAAAGCCCGGAGCUUAACUCCGGAACUGCCAUUGAAACUGUUUAGCUUGAGGACGAGAGAGGUGAGUGGAAUUCCCAGUGUAGAGGUGAAAUUCGUAGAUAUUGGGAAGAACACCGGUGGCGAAGGCGGCUCACUGGCUCGUUCUGACGCUCAGGCGCGACAGCGUGGGGAUCAAACAGG